rnacentral:snRNA from 1 species
GAGCAGCAGAGUGAAAGUUUGUCUCCUCAUUGAUCACUGGAGUGGACUUGGCUGAUCUGGCUGGCUAGAUGAAUCUUUCAUCUCUCCUCACAUCUUUCUCCAAACCUCAAAGCUACACACUGAAACAGAGUACCAUGCUCUGUGCAAGGAGACAGUAGUGUCUCCUUCUACAUUCCCCAAACACAAGUAAAGUCCAUUUGUAGGAAACAGAGCAGCCAAGACUCCAGAUCUUGAGACAUGUCCAAAUGAAGGUCUGUGUACUGCAAUUUGCUUUUCAUU